rnacentral:lncRNA from 1 species
CUCGAUAGACUAGCGAACCCUUAUUGAUUCGACUAGUCCAUAGUUGAUGAGCGUUCUAAAUUUUAGAAUCCCUUGAUGAAUUAUCCAAACCAAACUUCCUUUGGUGCGGACUUGAAUGUCAAACUGAGAUAAACAACCCUGUAUAGGGGAUUAUUUACUCUUUAGCGUUAAGAUAUUGUGCAUAGUAUGGUACUAAGGGCUGAUCCCCCUAAGUAUGAGAAGAAGAGUCCAUAGUCUUAUGACUGUUAAAGGUUUCAAGUAAAAAC